AGCGAACGCUGGCGGCAGGCCUAACACAUGCAAGUCGAACGGCCCUUCGGGGUAGUGGCGGACGGGUGAGUAACGCGUGGGAAUGUGCCCUUUGGUACGGAACAACUGAGGGAAACUUCAGCUAAUACCGUAUGUGCCCUUCGGGGAAGAUUUAUCGCCAUUGGAGCAGCCCGCGUUGGAUUAGGUAGUUGGUGGGGUAAAGGCCUACCAAGCCUACGAUCCAUAGCUGGUCUGAGAGGAUGAUCAGCCACAUUGGGACUGAGACACGGCCCAAACUCCUACGGGAGGCAGCAGUGGGGAAUCUUGCGCAAUGGGCGAAAGCCUGACGCAGCCAUGCCGCGUGUAUGAUGAAGGUCUUAGGAUUGUAAAAUACUUUCACCGGGGGUAAGGAUAAUGACGGUACCCGGA
rnacentral:rRNA from 1 species